rnacentral:rRNA from 1 species
GACGAACGCUGGCGGCGUGCUUAACACAUGCAAGUCGAACGGAAAGGCCCUGCUUUUGUGGGGUGCUCGAGUGGCGAACGGGUGAGUAAAACGUGUGUAAAAUGCACUUAACUUUGGGGUAACUUCAGGGGAAUGGGGCUCAUACAGGAGAGGAGAUACUGCUGCAUGGUGGGGGAUAGAGAGUGUCGGCGGUUGGGGAUGGACUAGCGGCUUAUGAGCUGGUUGGUGGGGUAGGGGCUGUCCAGGGCUUUGACGGGUAGCCGGCCUGGGAGGUUGGACGGCGUCAUGGGUACUGCGGGACGGACCAGACGCCUACGGGAGGCAGCAGGGGGGAAUAUUGCACAAUGGGCGGAAGCCUGAGGCAGCAACGUCGCGUGCGGGAUGCCGGCCUUCGGGUUGUAAACAGCUUUCGCCUUAGACGAAGCGUUAGUGACGGUAACGGGUAAAGAAGCACCGGCUAACUACGUG